GACGAACGCUGGCGGCGUGCUUAACACAUGCAAGUCGAACGGAAAGGCCCUGCUUUUGUGGGGUGCUCGAGUGGCGAACGGGUGAGUAACACGUGAGUAACCUGCCCUUGACUUUGGGAUAACUUCAGGAAACUGGGGCUAAUACCGGCUAGGAGCUCCUGCUGCAUGGUGGGGGUUGGAAAGUUUCGGCGGUUGGGGAUGGACUCGCGGCUUAUCAGCUUGUUGGUGGGGUAGUGGCUUACCAAGGCUUUGACGGGUAGCCGGCCUGAGAGGGUGACCGGCCACAUUGGGACUGAGAUACGGCCCAGACUGCUACGGGAGGCAGCAGUGGGGAAUAUUGCACAAUGGGCGGAAGCCUGAUGCAGCAACGCCGCGUGCGGGAUGACGGCCUUCGGGUUGUAAACCGCUUUCGCCUGUGACGAAGCGUGAGUGACGGUAAUGGGUAAAGAAGCACCGGCUAACUACGUG
rnacentral:rRNA from 1 species